UACGGAGGGUGCAAGCGUUAAUCGGAAUUACUGGGCGUAAAGCGCGCGUAGGUGGUGAAGUCAGUCAGAUGUGAAAGCCCAGGGCUUAACCUUGGAAUUGCACCUGAUACUGCUUCGCUAGAGUAUGGUAGAGGGGUGUGGAAUUUCCUGUGUAGCGGUGAAAUGCGUAGAUAUAGGAAGGAACACCAGUGGCGAAGGCGACACCCUGGACCAAUACUGACACUGAGGUGCGAAAGCGUGGGUAGCAAACAGG
rnacentral:rRNA from 1 species